rnacentral:rRNA from 1 species
UACGAAGGGGGCUAGCGUUGUUCGGAUUUACUGGGCGUAAAGCGCACGUAGGCGGAUUGUUAAGUCGGGGGUGAAAUCCUGGAGCUCAACUCCAGAACUGCCUUCGAUACUGGCAAUCUAGAGUCCGGAAGAGGUGAGUGGAACUCCUAGUGUAGAGGUGGAAUUCGUAGAUAUUAGGAAGAACACCAGUGGCGAAGGCGGCUCACUGGUCCGGUACUGACGCUGAGGUGCGAAAGCGUGGGGAGCAAACAGGG